AAGUCCUAAAAGUGAGACGGGCGGGCCGGGCUCAACUUUGACGGCUCUAGGAGGUACCAACGAGAAAGCGGACGGCGAGACGCGGUCGACGGCGGAUCUGCUGCGUCUUCUCCCGAAAGACGGCCGACGACCUCAGCGAUAACUAUUGACGACAAGAUUGAUCUGAAGUCUGAAGAACUCGAGAAUUCCCUUCGUAGCUAUGGAGAGAAAAGGCCACUCCAAAUUGAACAUAGCAAUCAUUCAUCCUGAUCUUGGAAUAGGUGGAGCAGAAAGAUUAAUAGUUGAUGCUGCUGUAGAACUCUCGGCUAACGGUCAUAAUGUUCAUAUAUUCACAUCGCACCAUGACAAAACCCGUUGCUUCGAGGAGACAGUUUCGGGCAUCUUUCCCGUCACUGUGUAUGGUGCUUUCCUGCCUCGGCAUUUCUUCUACCGCCUGCACGCUGUGUGUGCAUAUCUGCGGUGUAUAUUCGUCGCACUUUGUGUCCUGUUCUUGUAUCCUUCUUUCGAUGUUAUACUUGCUGAUCAGGUCUCUGUUGUUGUUCCAUUGAUGAAGUUGAAGAGAUCAUCGAAGGUUAUAUUUUAUUGCCACUUCCCGGACCUGUUGCUCGCUCAACACACCACAUUCCUCAGGAGAAUCUAUCGAAAGCCAAUCGAUUAUCUAGAAGAACUAACUACGGGUAUGGCAGAUUUGAUUCUAGUAAAUAGCAAAUUUACUGCAUCAACUUUCGCAAAGACUUUCAAGAAUUUAAAUUCUCGAGGAGUUAGACCAGCUGUGCUGUACCCUGCCGUCAAUGUGGAUCAGUUUAACGAACCUAAUGCUAAUACUAAGUUGAAUUUUCUUUCUAUCAACCGUUUCGAAAGGAAGAAGAAUAUAGAACUAGCUAUAACCGCCUUUGGUAAGCUCUACAACAUGCGAGAUGAGUUUCUUGGAGGCGACACAGAUGAAAAUGACCUCACCAUGAUUAUUGCUGGUGGCUUUGACCAACGCCUCAGAGAAAAUGUCGAGUAUUUGGAGGAAUUAAAAGCUCUUGCAGAAAAGGAACACGUCGCUCGUCAAGUCCAGUUUAUCACAUCCUGCUCCACAUCUGAAAGAAACACACUCCUUGCACAAUGUCUCUGUGUUCUCUACACCCCCAAGGAUGAGCAUUUUGGCAUUGUUCCUUUAGAGGCCAUGGCAGCCUCCAAACCCGUAAUAGCAUGCAAUAGUGGUGGUCCGGUCGAGACAAUAAAGGAUGGCGAGACGGGCUACCUAUGCAAUCCAAACCCUGAGGUCUUCUCCAUGGCCAUGGCCAAUCUGGCUCGAGAUCCUCAAAUGUCAAAGACCAUGGGAAUGCAGGCGCGCCAGCACGUGGUGCAAUCUUUCUCUACCAAGACAUUCGGCCAGCGCCUGAAUGCAUAUGUUGUCAAUGCAGCUCAUGGGACAAAGCAUGAGUGAAGUGAUUAACCAUUGACAGUGCUGAUGCCGACCAACUGCAGAAACUAAUUGUGCGUUGCUGCGAUUGGGAUGGCGACCGAUGAAUCAUCAGGGAACAUUGACGAGUGCGCCAUGCCGUAAAGAUCCAAACUUACCAAGCUGAGAAAUUCUCGGGUCCCGAAAGUGUCGUACAAAUCAAAUCCUUCAUCUUCCUGGCGUUGUCCCGAACCGUCCGGCCCUCGUCGCAGGCCAUCGCUAACCUCACCGUGGCGCUCACCCCGUCCCUCGUGAAGGCUCCAUCCUGACCAUCCCUCGGAAUCUCAAUCCCGACACCCUUCUCGGCCAAAAGCCUCGCGUUCAGCCCCUGAUCGUUCAUCAACGGUAACAAUAUCAAUGCUCUCCCGAACCUUAGCGCCUCCGUCGCCGAGUUCCAUCCACAGUGAGUCACGAACCCCCCGAUCGUCGGAUGCUCGAGUAUCUUGAUCUGUGGUGCCCAUUUCGCGCGCACGAUUCCCCUUCCCGCCGCUCUAUCGACGAACCCUUCCGGCAGCAGGUUCACGAGAUGGUCCCGAUUGAUCACCCAGAAGAACGGCAACCCGCACUGCUCCAAGCCGUGGGCAAGCUCCCGAACUUCCUCCAACGAAAGUACGGCUUCGGUUCCGAGCGCGACGUACACUACCGAGCUGGGUUUGUGCUCGUCGAGCCAUUGCUUGAUUUCUUGCCAAUCUUCGUCGCUUCCGUUGUUAUCGUCGUCGUUGUCUUCCAUCGGUAGAGCACCGAUCGGGAUUACGGGUUUCUGGUAGAGUUUGUUGAGGAGAUGGAACCACUCCGGCUCGAACUCCUCGUAUGAUCGGAUAAUCACGAUGUCGCUUCCGUCGAUCGAUAGGCCGAAGCGAAGCGAGUCGGACGUCCCCGAGCUGUAGUCGUUGCCGUCGGCAUCUGGCGACGACGAACGCUUCCGAAAUGAGAUUCGAAUACUAACUCCGAAUACCGAAUACGAGUUUUA